GAACGUUGAGUCGGGUAAAUAAUAAAUUAAGAACGAGUAGUUUUAAGGGAUGCACGCAUGGUAGAGGAGCGUUCUGUAAGUCUGUGAAGGUGUCUUGUAAGGGAUGCUGGAGAUAUCAGAAGUGCGAAUGCUGACAUGAGUAACGAUAAAACGGGUGAAAAACCCGUUCGCCGGAAGACCAAGGGUUCCUGCGCAACGCUAAUCGGCGCAGGGUUAGUCGGCUCCUAAGAUGAGGCCGAAGGGCGUAGUCGAUGGGAAAUCGGUUAACAUUCCGAUACUUCUUGUAAGUGCGAUGGGGGGACGGAGAAGGCUAGAUCAGCUUGGCGAUGGUUGUCCAAGUUCAAGCUUGUAGGCAGAGUGUUUAGGUAAAUCCGGACACUUAAUGCCGAGAAGUGAUAACGAGCUUACUUAGGUAAGUGAAGUGAUUGAUGCCAUGCUUCCAGGAAAAGCCUCUAAGCUUCAGCUUACAAGGAACCGUACCCGAAACCGACACAGGUGGUCAGGUAGAGAAUACCAAGGCGCUUGAGAGAACUCGGGUGAAGGAACUAGGCAAAAUAGUACCGUAACUUCGGGAGAAGGUACGCUGCUGAUGGUGAAGGACUUGCUCCGUAAGCUAUUGGCAGUCGAAGAUACCAGGUGGCUGCGACUGUUUAUUUAAAACACAGCACUCUGCAAACACGAAAGUGGACGUAUAGGGUGUGACUCCUGCCCGGUGCCGGAAGGUUAAUUGAUGGGGUUAGCGCAAGCGAAGCUCUUGAUCGAAGCCCCGGUAAACGGCGGCCGUAACUAUAACGGUCCUAAGGUAGCGAAAUUCCUUGUCGGGUAAGUUCCGACCUGCACGAAUGGCGUAACGAUGGCGGCGCUGUCUCCACCCGAGACUCAGUGAAAUUGAAAUCGCUGUGAAGAUGCAGUGUAUCCGCGGCUAGACGGAAAGACCCCGUGAACCUUUACUAUAGCUUUGCACUGGACUUUGAGCUUGCUUGUGUAGGAUAGGUGGGAGGCUUUGAAGUGGGGACGCCAGUUCUCAUGGAGCCAUCCUUGAAAUACCACCCUGGCAACCUUGAGGUUCUAACUCAGGUCCGUUAUCCGGAUCGAGGACAGUGUAUGGUGGGUAGUUUGACUGGGGCGGUCUCCUCCCAAAGAGUAACGGAGGAGUACGAAGGUGCGCUCAGACCGGUCGGAAAUCGGUCGUAGAGUAUAAAGGCAAAAGCGCGCUUGACUGCGAGACACACACGUCGAGCAGGUACGAAAGUAGGUCUUAGUGAUCCGGUGGUUCUGUAUGGAAGGGCCAUCGCUCAACGGAUAAAAGGUACUCCGGGGAUAACAGGCUGAUACCGCCCAAGAGUUCAUAUCGACGGCGGUGUUUGGCACCUCGAUGUCGGCUCAUCACAUCCUGGGGCUGAAGCCGGUCCCAAGGGUAUGGCUGUUCGCCAUUUAAAGUGGUACGCGAGCUGGGUUUAGAACGUCGUGAGACAGUUCGGUCCCUAUCUGCCGUGGACGUUUGAGAUUUGAGAGGGGUUGCUCCUAGUACGAGAGGACCGGGGUGAACAGACCUCUGGUGUAUCAGUUGUCGUGCCAACGGCACUGCUGACUAGCUACGUCUGGUAGCGAUAACCGCUGAAAGCAUCUAAGCGGGAAGCGUGCCUCGAGAUGAGAUCUCCCACCAUCUAGAAUGGGUAAGGGCCCAGGUAGACCACCUGGUUGAUAGGCUGGAUGUGUAAGCACAGCAAUGUGUUCAGCAGACCAGUACUAAUCGCCCGAGGGCUUGACCU
rnacentral:rRNA from 1 species